GACGAACGCUGGCGGCGUGCUUAACACAUGCAAGUCGAACGAAGUGGCGAACGGGUGAGUAACGCGUAAUAAACCUGCCCUUCAGAGGGGGACAACAGUUGGAAACGACUGCUAAUACCGCAUAAGGAAGGAGGGGAUUGCGUCUGAUUAGCUAGUUGGGGGGGUAAGGGCCCACCAGGGCGAUGAUCAGUAGCCGGUUUGAUAGGAUUAACGGCCACAUUGGGACCGAGACACGGCCCAGACUCCUACGGGAGGCAGCAUUGGGGAAUCUUCCGCAAUGGACGAAAGUCUGACGGAGCAACGCCGCGUGAGUGAUGACGGCCUUCGGGUUGUAAAGCUCUGUUAAUCGGGACGCGGUACCGGAAUAGAAAGCCACGGCUAACUACGUGCCAGCAGCCGCGGUAAUUC
rnacentral:rRNA from 1 species